rnacentral:rRNA from 1 species
CCUACGGGUGGCAGCAGUGGGGAAUAUUGCGCAAUGGGCGAAAGCCUGACGCAGCGACGCCGCGUGAGGGAUGAAGGUCUUCGGAUCGUAAACCUCUGUCAGCAGGGAAGAACGGUCACUGUGCUAAUCAGCAGUGAAUUGACGGUACCUGCAAAGGAAGCACCGGCUAACUCCGUGCCAGCAGCCGCGGUAGUACGGAGGGUGCGAGCGUUAAUCGGAAUUACUGGGCGUAAAGCGCGCGUAGGCGGUAUGUCAAGUCAAGGGUGAAAUCCCCGCGCUCAACGUGGGAACUGCCUUUGAAACUGGCAAACUGGAGUGUGUGAGAGGAUAGUGGAAUUCCAGGUGUAGGAGUGAAAUGCGUAGAUAUCUGGAGGAACAUCAGUGGCGAAGGCGACUAUCUGGCACAUAACUGACGCUGAGGAGCGAAAGCGUGGGUAGCAAACAGGAUUAGAUACCCCAGUAGUC